UACGUAGGUGGCAAGCGUUAUCCGGAUUUAUUGGGCGUAAGGGGAACGCAGGCGGUCUUUUAAGUCUGAUGUGAAAGCCUUCGGCUUAACCGGAGUAGUGCAUUGGAAACUGGGAGACUUGAGUGCAGAAGAGGAGAGUGGAACUCCAUGUGUAGCGGUGGAAUGCGUAGAUAUAUGGAAGAACACCAGUGGCGAAAGCGGCUCUCUGGUCUGUAACUGACGCUGAGGUUCGAAAGCGUGGGUAGCAAACAGG
rnacentral:rRNA from 1 species